rnacentral:ribozyme from 1 species
GACAUUUGGCUAUGCCCAUCGCAUUAUUUUUUGCCCUCUAUUUGUGUCUGUGCUUGCAAAUUUUAUGGUUUUUUUGGAAAGGGGUGUUUGCUGU